rnacentral:rRNA from 1 species
AGCGAACGCUGGCGGAAUGCUUAACACAUGCAAGUCGCACGGGUGGUUUCGGCCAUUAGUGGCGGACGGGUGAGUAACGCGUAGGAACGUGUCCUGGGAUGGGGGAUAACGCUGGGAAACUGGCGCUAAUACCGCAUAUCUCCUGAGGGAGAAAGCCGCGAGGCGUCUUGGGAGCGGCCUGCGUCCGAUUAGCUUGUUGGUUAGGUAAUGGCUGACCAAGGCGAUGAUCGGUAGCUGGUCUGAGAGGAUGAUCAGCCACACUGGGACUGAGACACGGCCCAGACUCCUACGGGAGGCAGCAGUGGGGAAUAUUGGACAAUGGGCGCAAGCCUGAUCCAGCAAUUCCGCGUGGGUGAAGGAGGUCUUCGGAUUGUAAAGCCCUUUCGGCGGGGACGAUGAUGACGGUACCCGCAGAAGAAGCCCCGGCUAACUUCGUGCCAGCCGCCGCCGUAACAC